AUGCUCCACUUUCUCCUUGCCUUUCUCCUGGGCACUUUUUUGGGUGUCGGUGCUCAGAUUAUUGAUCAACGGCCAGCUGUCAGUGUGCAGCCUGUGGGCAGUUCACUCUCUCUGGAGUGUACUGUCAAGGGGCAAUCAAGCCCCAACCUCUACUGGUACUGGCAGGACAAAGGAGGGACUCUCCAGCAGCUCUUCUACUCUAUUAGUGUUGGUGAUGUGGUAUCGGUGACAGCUCGGAACCUCUCGGCCUCCAGACCCCAAGAUGGCCAGUUCAUCUUGAGCUCUGAGAAGCUGCUUCUCAGUCACUCUGGCUUCUACUUCUGUGCCUGGAGUAUCACACUGACUGGGGUGGGGCAGGCAUCUGUGCAAAAACCACACCCUCUCCUUAGUCCUACCACCCUCACUAGGAGCCCUCGCUAG